rnacentral:rRNA from 1 species
AUUGAACGCUGGCGGCAUGCCUUACACAUGCAAGUCGAACGGCAGCACGGGGCAACCUGGUGGCGAGUGGCGAACGGGUGAGUAAUGCAUCGGAACGUACCUUUCAGUGGGGGAUAACGUAGCGAAAGUUACGCUAAUACCGCAUAUUCUGUGAGCAGGAAAGCAGGGGAUCGCAAGACCUUGCGCUGAUUGAGCGGCCGAUGUCAGAUUAGCUAGUUGGUGAGGUAAAGGCUCACCAAGGCGACGAUCUGUAGCGGGUCUGAGAGGAUGAUGGGCCACACUGGAACUGAGACACGGUCCAGACUCCUACGGGAGGCAGCAGUGGGGAAUUUUGGACAAUGGGGGCAACCCUGAUCCAGCCAUGCCGCGUGAGUGAAGAAGGCCUUCGGGUUGUAAAGCUCUGUCGGCCGGGAAGAAAUCGCACGGGCUAAUACCCUGUGUGGAUGACGGUACCGGAAUAAGAAGCACCGGCUAACUACGUGCCAGCCGCCGCCGUAACAC